UGAAAACCAAACCAUUCUUCUCUCUAAAGCUCUUUCCUCCUUGAUAACAACUCAACACCUUGGCCGAAUUUUCAAUUUCUGUUCUCUCUUGAAGCUUGGAUUUUGGAGGAUCUCUUCACCAACAAGUUUAGAGAUCCUGUAGUGAGCCCGAAUUCGCGGGACUUGUCGAAUCCAACUUCUUAGCUCGGAGCCAGUACAUCUCCAUUCCUGGCUCACCCAGCUAGGAGGAGCAAGUCCUAGCCAUGUGCACAUGUUUUCUGUAGUAGCACUACCGAACAUGCGUGUCCGUUCCGACUGCGGUCGAAGAUCAAGCUCCGGUUGUUGAUAUUCUGUUAUGUUCCGACUUCACAGUUGAUGAUCCAGCCUCGUGCUAUUGAUUUUUGUUAUCAGUCAGGGAGAUGUACAUGUCUGUUUUUCUAUGUGUUUUCUGUAUUUUCUGAUAAUCUGUAUGAAUUAUUAAUUAUUCUGUUAUUUUCUGCGAUCCUAUUGGGCUCUUGUGGCUUAUGUACUCUGUGAAUUUUUUCAUUCCACAAGAGAAGAUCAAGCUUAGGAUCAGUGGGUUAUUCUGGGGCUUCUUCUGUAGUUGUGACUUGUCAAAUACCUGUUCUUUGAGGUUGUGAACCUUAUAUGUUAUUUUAUUCUGUAUGAGUGAGACUUGUAUCCUGUUUGUAUAAUUUGGCUUGUAAACUACUUGUGUACUCUGUAGGACUGUCAUAGUCCAUAUCUUAUUAUCUAUAUUUCUGUGACUCUAUUUGUAGUCUA